rnacentral:sRNA from 1 species
AGAACAAGUACAGCAUUGUAAUAGCUGUGCAAGCUUCCUCCACGCUGCCCUGCCCAUGUGCCUCAGCCU